CAGUAUAUAUUUUAAUUAAAAUUUUAAUUUUGGAAAUUAAUGAUAAUAUAGAUUUUUAUAUUUAUACUGA
rnacentral:tRNA from 1 species